rnacentral:rRNA from 1 species
CGCGAAACCUUUACACUGCACGACAGUGCGAUAAGGGGACCCCGAGUGCGAGGGCAUACAGUCCUCGCUUUUGUGUACCGUAGGGAGGUACACGAAUAAGAGCUGGGCAAGACCGGUGCCAGCCGCCGCGGUAAUACCGGCAGCUCAAGUGAUGGCCGCUAUUAUUGGGCCUAAAGCGUCCGUAGCCGGCCGCACAAGUCCGUCGGGAAAUCCACCCGCCUAACGGGUGGGCGUCCGGCGGAAACUGUGCGGCUUGGGACCGGAAGACUCGAGGGGUACGUCCGGGGUAGGAGUGAAAUCCCGUAAUCCUGGACGGACCGCCGGAGGCGAAAGCGCCUCGAGAGGACGGAUCCGACGGUGAGGGACGAAAGCUAGGGUCUCGAACCGGAUUAGAUACCCGGGUAGUCCUAGCCGUAAACGAUGCUUGCUAGGUGUGACGCAGGCUACGAGCCUGCGCUGUGCCGUAGGGAAGCCGUGAAGCGAGCCGCCUGGGAAGUACGUCCGCAAGGAUGAAACUUAAAGGAAUUGGCGGGGGAGCACUACAACC